GAUGAACGCUGGCGGCGUGCCUAAUACAUGCCAGUCGAGCGAACAGACGAGGAGCUUGCUCCUCUGACGUUAGCGGCGGACGGGUGAGUAACACGUGGAUAACCUACCUAUAAGACUGGGAUAACUUCGGGAAACCGGAGCUAAUACCGGAUAACAUGUUGAACCGCAUGGUUCAACAGUGAAAGACGGUCUUGCUGUCACUUAUAGAUGGAUCCGCGCCGCAUUAGCUAGUUGGUAAGGUAACGGCUUACCAAGGCAACGAUGCGUAGCCGACCUGAGAGGGUGAUCGGCCACACUGGAACUGAGACACGGUACAGACUCCGACGGGAGGCAGCAGUAGGGAAUCUUCCGCAAUGGGCGAAAGCCUGACGGAGCAACGCCGCGUGAGUGAAGAAGGUCUUCUGAUCGUAAAACUCUGUUAUUAGGGAAGAACAAAUGUGUAAGUAACUAUGCACGUCUUGACGGUACCUAAUCAGAAAGCCACGGCUAACUACGUG
rnacentral:rRNA from 1 species